AAAAUGGCCAUUAUCCAAACCUAAAGCUGUUCCCAGCUGGUCCUAAGGCUACAGAUGUUUCUCUACAACAGCCCAAAUCACAGAGACAGGGGAUUGGCCUACACACGGUGCUUCAGAGGCUCCCCUGAAGCCGACCCAAGGGGAGUCUACUCUACAUGCUUGGGACCCUGCAGGAACCAGAUAAAGAUGUAGUCUUUGGACCAUCGCAUCUAGUGGCAGUAAUAUUUAUUGAGCACUUACUAUGUGCCGGGCACAGUUACUCAUUUAAUACUCACAUGAUCCCCAAGGAAGAAGUUACCAUCAUCAUCCCCAUAUUAUAGAUGCAAAAACUGAAGCCCAGAAAGAUUAAGUCACUUGUGAAAAAUAUGGCAGGGCCCAGACUUGCUGCCAGGCAGGCAGGCAGCAGAGGCGGCAUGCUUAGCUGCAAGGCUAUGUUGCUUUUGUCCAACUCUUGCCUUUUUUGCUGUUGUAGCCAUUUUUGUUUUGCCAACAUACAAAAAGAGUUUAAUACAUGAAAGUUAUCUAAAGCCAUUCAGUCUCUUCUUUCCCUCUAGAAGCCAAAGCUGGAGAGAUUCCAAUCACGGCAUCACUGCGCAUAGACAUUCUCCUUUUAAAUGCAAACACCUUUGAUAAGAGUAACUCAGGCCUGAAAAGAGAGCUCCCAGAGGACCAGGACCUUCUUUAUCUGCAUGCCCAGGACUAAGCAGGGUAUCGGGUAGUGGGUGCUCAAUGGACAAAGAUUAAGUCUUAAGUGUACAAGUCAGAGAAGGAGAAGACACAUUUCUGAUGCCUUUGAGUAAUUCUGAUCUGCUAAAUUAGACACACAGCCUGGCAUAGACCAACCCCAGUCCAUUAUCACAGACUGAAGACCAAAGAAAGGAAUAAAUGAAACCUGUAAUGUGCUGAGCAUUUUACAUAAAUCAUCUUUGGAAUUCUCACAAUGCAAGGAAGAUACCAUUAUCCCUAUCUUAGCAGAUAAAGAAAGCAAAUCUCAGAGAGCUUUUACUCACUUUUCCAGGACCAGUCAGCUCUUAAGAUGUAAAGCCAGGAUUCUAGAACUGAAUCAUCUGAUUUCAAAGCCUGAGCAAGGGGGAAGUGGUGCACGCCUGUAGUCCCAGCUACUAAAGAGGCUGAGGUGGGAGGAUCCCUUAAUCCUAGGAGUUUGAGUCCAGCCUGGGCAACAUAGCAAGAACCAAUCUCAAGAAAAAAAUUAGCAAUGCAAGACCAUGAGCCCAGCUUCAUACUGGUGGUAUUUUUGGGGGAUAAUUAAGCUGUGUAACAUGUAGCUUUUGAUUUCCUUUUACAACUUCUCUCCUUAACACCUAUAGAUUUAUUAUCA
rnacentral:lncRNA from 10 species